rnacentral:rRNA from 2 species
GGGUUGUGAGGUUAAGCGACUAAGCGUACACGGUGGAUGCCCUGGCAGUCAGAGGCGAUGAAGGACGUGCUAAUCUGCGAUAAGCGUCGGUAAGGUGAUAUGAACCGUUAUAACCGGCGAUUUCCGAAUGGGGAAACCCAGUGUGAUUCGUCACACUAUCAUUAACUGAAUCCAUAGGUUAAUGAGGCGAACCGGGGGAACUGAAACAUCUAAGUACCCCGAGGAAAAGAAAUCAACCGAGAUUCCCCCAGUAGCGGCGAGCGAACGGGGAGCAGCCCAGAGCCUGAAUCAGUGUGUGUGUUAGUGGAAGCGUCUGGAAAGGCGUGCGAUACAGGGUGACAGCCCCGUACACAAAAAUGCACAUACUGUGAGCUCGAUGAGUAGGGCGGGACACGUGGUAUCCUGUCUGAAUAUGGGGGACCAUCCUCCAAGGCUAAAUACUCCUGACUGACCGAUAGUGAACCAGUACCGUGAGGGAAAGGCGAAAAGAACCCCGGCGAGGGGAGUGAAAAAGAACCUGAAACCGUGUACGUACAAGCAGUGGGAGCACGCUUAGGCGUGUGACUGCGUACCUUUUGUAUAAUGGGUCAGCGACUUAUAUUCUGUAGCAAGGUUAACCGAAUAGGGGAGCCGAAGGGAAACCGAGUCUUAACUGGGCGUUAAGUUGCAGGGUAUAGACCCGAAACCCGGUGAUCUAGCCAUGGGCAGGUUGAAGGUUGGGUAACACUAACUGGAGGACCGAACCGACUAAUGUUGAAAAAUUAGCGGAUGACUUGUGGCUGGGGGUGAAAGGCCAAUCAAACCGGGAGAUAGCUGGUUCUCCCCGAAAGCUAUUUAGGUAGCGCCUCGUGAAUUCAUCUCCGGGGGUAGAGCACUGUUUCGGCAAGGGGGUCAUCCCGACUUACCAACCCGAUGCAAACUGCGAAUACCGGAGAAUGUUAUCACGGGAGACACACGGCGGGUGCUAACGUCCGUCGUGAAGAGGGAAACAACCCAGACCGCCAGCUAAGGUCCCAAAGUCAUGGUUAAGUGGGAAACGAUGUGGGAAGGCCCAGACAGCCAGGAUGUUGGCUUAGAAGCAGCCAUCAUUUAAAGAAAGCGUAAUAGCUCACUGGUCGAGUCGGCCUGCGCGGAAGAUGUAACGGGGCUAAACCAUGCACCGAAGCUGCGGCAGCGACGCUUAUGCGUUGUUGGGUAGGGGAGCGUUCUGUAAGCCUGUGAAGGUGUGCUGUGAGGUAUGCUGGAGGUAUCAGAAGUGCGAAUGCUGACAUAAGUAACGAUAAAGCGGGUGAAAAGCCCGCUCGCCGGAAGACCAAGGGUUCCUGUCCAACGUUAAUCGGGGCAGGGUGAGUCGACCCCUAAGGCGAGGCCGAAAGGCGUAGUCGAUGGGAAACAGGUUAAUAUUCCUGUACUUGGUGUUACUGCGAAGGGGGGACGGAGAAGGCUAUGUUGGCCGGGCGACGGUUGUCCCGGUUUAAGCGUGUAGGCUGGUUUUCCAGGCAAAUCCGGAAAAUCAAGGCCGAGGCGUGAUGACGAGGCACUACGGUGCUGAAGCAACAAAUGCCCUGCUUCCAGGAAAAGCCUCUAAGCAUCAGGUAACAUCAAAUCGUACCCCAAACCGACACAGGUGGUCAGGUAGAGAAUACCAAGGCGCUUGAGAGAACUCGGGUGAAGGAACUAGGCAAAAUGGUGCCGUAACUUCGGGAGAAGGCACGCUGAUACGUAGGUGAAGCGACUUGCUCGUGGAGCUGAAAUCAGUCGAAGAUACCAGCUGGCUGCAACUGUUUAUUAAAAACACAGCACUGUGCAAACACGAAAGUGGACGUAUACGGUGUGACGCCUGCCCGGUGCCGGAAGGUUAAUUGAUGGGGUUAGCGCAAGCGAAGCUCUUGAUCGAAGCCCCGGUAAACGGCGGCCGUAACUAUAACGGUCCUAAGGUAGCGAAAUUCCUUGUCGGGUAAGUUCCGACCUGCACGAAUGGCGUAAUGAUGGCCAGGCUGUCUCCACCCGAGACUCAGUGAAAUUGAACUCGCUGUGAAGAUGCAGUGUACCCGCGGCAAGACGGAAAGACCCCGUGAACCUUUACUAUAGCUUGACACUGAACAUUGAGCCUUGAUGUGUAGGAUAGGUGGGAGGCUUUGAAGUGUGGACGCCAGUCUGCAUGGAGCCGACCUUGAAAUACCACCCUUUAAUGUUUGAUGUUCUAACGUGGACCCGUGAUCCGGGUUGCGGACAGUGUCUGGUGGGUAGUUUGACUGGGGCGGUCUCCUCCUAAAGAGUAACGGAGGAGCACGAAGGUUGGCUAAUCCUGGUCGGACAUCAGGAGGUUAGUGCAAUGGCAUAAGCCAGCUUGACUGCGAGCGUGACGGCGCGAGCAGGUGCGAAAGCAGGUCAUAGUGAUCCGGUGGUUCUGAAUGGAAGGGCCAUCGCUCAACGGAUAAAAGGUACUCCGGGGAUAACAGGCUGAUACCGCCCAAGAGUUCAUAUCGACGGCGGUGUUUGGCACCUCGAUGUCGGCUCAUCACAUCCUGGGGCUGAAGUAGGUCCCAAGGGUAUGGCUGUUCGCCAUUUAAAGUGGUACGCGAGCUGGGUUUAGAACGUCGUGAGACAGUUCGGUCCCUAUCUGCCGUGGGCGCUGGAGAACUGAGGGGGGCUGCUCCUAGUACGAGAGGACCGGAGUGGACGCAUCACUGGUGUUCGGGUUGUCAUGCCAAUGGCACUGCCCGGUAGCUAAAUGCGGAAGAGAUAAGUGCUGAAAGCAUCUAAGCACGAAACUUGCCCCGAGAUGAGUUCUCCCUGACCCUUUAAGGGUCCUGAAGGAACGUUGAAGACGACGACGUUGAUAGGCCGGGUGUGUAAGCGCAGCGAUGCGUUGAGCUAACCGGUACUAAUGAACCGUGAGGCUUAACCUUACAACGCCGAAG